rnacentral:other from 1 species
GUAACCCUACUGUGUGCGUGAUGCUGCUUUCCGGUUUUGGGCCAACACUCAUUAAUAGGGUCCCAAUCUUGAGUGUAUGACGCGAUAGGCCAGAGCCAAGGCGGAUUACACCAGGCGAGACCCAACCUGCGAAGGCAGGUUCAAAACUUUGCUGCACACGACACAGUGGGGUGACG